rnacentral:lncRNA from 1 species
CAGCACAGGAUCAUGGUUGUCAGCCUCAGAGGCAGACAGCUGAGGUUGAAAUCUUAGCUCUUGUGUUACUAGAAGGACAGUUUGAGGUAAGUUAUUAAGUGUCUUCAGGGCUUGGUUUUCCCAAGGAAUAAAAGCAUUCCCCUCCCUCCCUAACACACAUGUCCAGGGAGUGCAUGAGUUGUAAGGAUAUUAUCACAUGUAGAGCUUAGAAUAACAUGUGGCUGGUAGCCAGAGCAAGGCAGUCUCCUAAAUCAGUUUGGUUGAUAGCUUUCCUGGGCGUGAAGAGAAUUCAUGCAUGUCCUUGUGGGGCUUACAAAAGAAGAGCCAUUGCUUUUGACGAUGAAUAAUUGGUGUUCACCUCAACUUGCUUUCAAGGAAAGUUUGAGAGAUUGCUUUGAAAGAUUGGCUAAAAUUUAACAUGGGCACUAAGACGUUUUAAAUUGGAUUCAUGAUUCUGUCUUCACUGCACUCUGGAACUCUUCAAUGGGUAGUUACCUGCUUCCUAAUAACUUCAGUUGUCAUCCUGCUCUUUCCUUUCUGACUCACCCACAAUACUAACAAAGUUAGAGGUCUCAAACAUCAUGGAAGUGGUUAUUUUUGGUUCAGCACAUUAAUGUAUAAGAUUUUGUUUUGAUGAUGGUCGUAUCUGUUUGUAAUUUUCCCUUGGCCCUAGUGUGGUGGGGCACAUGGCAUAGCCCCUGGUCAGCAUGGGGCAUGAGAAUGGCAGCCCAUUUGCUCUGCUCGAGGUAUUCUCCCAUGGCAGUUAUUCAACCUCUUCAGAGGCUCCUUUUCCACAGUAGAAAGGAUAUUCAAAUCCUUACUAACUGUUCAGUGUUGGUGAGAAGGAUCUGUCGUCACAGCCCCUGCAGCAUGCAAGAGUCUCUUAGCGGCAAACCUAAGAACUCAGUUAAUAUUCACAGUUAUUUUAGUACAUCUUGGAUGCUGGAAUUUCCAUUAGGUGUCCCAGAAGAAUCAAAUUGGGUAGACUUUAUUCACCCAAUUUUUCCUUCAGGAAAAUCUAGAACAAGCUCCCAGAAAGUUGAAUCAACUCAAGAGGAAUGCGUGAAUCAAAAAUGUUUAUAACAAUCCAGAUAAUGGAAGGAUAAGACAGAGAUUCAGAGACAGAAAAAUCAAGUCUGAAUUUAAGAAUCUCCACACUUUUCUGCACAGUGAGAGGGAUUCUUAUCUGUGGAGGCUGGAGAAAGAAGAGCAGAUGCUGAUGAGCCUGAGGGAGAAUGAGGCCAACUUGGAGUGGAAGAACCAUGAACUCAAGAGCCACCUCCUGGAACUAGAGGCAAAAUGUCAGAGCUCAGCCCAGAAACUGGCGCAGGACUUGUGCUGUGAAGCUGGAAGCACCUGAGGCCUUUUCCUUGGAGGUUCAGACUGUGUUUGGUGCUGCUGAACUUUACAGGAAUAUGAAGAUGAAGUUAAUGGGUUAUCAAGGUUUUGCUACAGAAAUAUUGGUGCUUUUGGUCACAAAAUUCUGCCUUGAACCCUGUGGGAAGACACAUCAUAUAGAGACUAGGACCUUGAAGAGAAAGUGCUGAUGUUUGAGAUGCAUGUGCCAUGUUCCUAGAUCCUACAGAGAAUGCAAUUUUGCCUCUCCCUACUCUUCCAGCAGCAAUAGAACAACCAGUGUUCCACGUCUUCUUGAUUGUAUGUAUAUAAUUUUUUCCCAACUGAUGGAUUUGAAAUGGUACCUAAUUGUGCACCCAAUUUCUGUUUCUCCAUUUUCACUAAUGAGUUUGGGAGUUUUACUUGUUCAUGUUUUCUUUGUAAAGGUUUAUGUCUAAGACCCUUUGGGUUUCUGUGAUUUACCUCUGAUUUACUGGAGUUUAAUAAUUUUUAAACUCUAUGUUAUGGCUUGUGUCUAGACGUCUGCCCAAAGCGUCAUGCAUUCAUAGGUGGGGCUUUUUCUGAGGGGGCUGAAUAUAGAAUGUGUGAUUCAUGGUGCAAGGCUAGGCAGGCGAACACUAGGUUUAAGAAGGUCAGUAAUACCCACCUAAGUAGUCAGAGUAAGAUAAAAGGGACAGAAAGAUACUGUUGAGGUCCCCUGUUGCUUUUGCUGUCUUUUGCCACCAUGAACUGUUGCCCCUCUGCCAAGCCACCCUGCCACGGAGCCAGCUGAUUAUGGAUUGAAACCUCUUGAAACUGUGAUCUAAUAAACCCUUUCCCCUUUGUCUUUGAAUGUCGGGUAUUUUGUCUCAGCAGUGAGAGAACAAUAACUAACAUAUUUAGGUUCUUAGAUCCUUAUUAAUUUCUAGGAGACUAUAGCCAAUGUUUCUCCUGUUAUAUGCGUGGCAUUUUCACUUUCUUUUUUCUGAUUAAGUUUCAAACUUAGGGUGACCAUAUUUUCCUUUACAGUUGGUGACUUUUGUUUCCAAAGAGCCCAGUCAUCAAUGGGCAUUGAAUUUCACCAAUGAGUUAGUUG